ACAUAUAUGUCUGUGUGAUCAUAAGAUAACAGACAACAUAUAUGUAUGUGAGUUUUCAGAUUAAGAUGUUGCUUUUUUAUUUGUUCUUUUAGAUAUGAUUUUGUCUAAAAGUGAAAAGCAUGGGCUUUGAACAAUUUGGGAGACUUCUCUCGACAUGCCUCCGCUGAUUUGGAUGCUCAUAUAGACAAUGAUACAAGAAUCUGAACGAUGUAGUGUGGACUCACGAAUCAAGUGACAAAUAAUUCAUUCGGAAGAUUGUAAAAAUGGUGCAGGAAAUGUAAUAUUUAUGAGACGUUUGGGAGGUGAACUGCUGAGGGUUUUAGGCCACGAAUAAAGACAGAUGGGUAAGAGAAAAUUGGAAGAAGGAUUAACAUUGUUAGACAUAAGUCAACCACUUCCUAAUGAAAAAUGCUUCAGUGAUUGCGUCGAUACAUUUUACUCAUUCAGUGAAACCACCUAUCUUUUUCUUGGAAAAUGUAGAUGAUGGAGCAACAGUGCGGAGGAAAAUUUUAUUAUGACGUUAUUGGUGACCAGUAUCUCACUAUCACUGUGUUUUUGGGCACGAAACACUUGGAAAUGAAAAGUAAAUUGUCUAUCUA